AAUACAUAUUUAAUUAUCAAGAUAUGUAAUUUAAUAAUUUACAUGAUAAGCACCUCACGUUCAGUUUUAAACACAUAACAUCUGUUUUAUCUUAGGGUUUACUGGGGGUGUAACAUCUAGUACUGAUACAGAAAAUAGCAAGAUAUAUAUUUGGCUUCUAAAUAUUUCUGUAUAAAUAUUCAGGCAAAAUCAUUUAUUACUGUGAAGUAUACCCCAAAAAUAUAGUUAUAAUCUUGCAGUAACUGGGAACGCAUUUAUUUUGUAUAGAUAGCUCUUUGGGAAUUUAAAAGUAUUUUAUAUUUUGAUGGUUUGCGCAAGACUGCAGUUGCAAACCCUUGCAUGACCUGCCAAAAUCAUGUGUAACAAAAGAAAAAGAAAGCAAGUAAAUUUAUUUUAUGCAAAAAUUAUUUUGAUGUACAAAAACACAGUAUGCGGUAUAGCUUUCAAGCAUGUCCUCUGCCUGAAGUUUGAAGAAUAGCAUUGUAUUCCAAAUAGCACCUCAUUUGUCAACCCUUGACAAGUUACAAAGGAUAGUUUUCUGACAGUUCAAAAAUGACACAGAAGAAAGCCCACUUAUUUUUUGCACAAUGUGUUAAGAACUCUUGAUGCAAGUAAGAAAAUUGUUUAUUUUUAUCCAAAAAGCUGUAUUUCAGUGGAUUUCAGCAUGAAAGAUUCUAGUAAAAGUUAAAAAAACUUGAAAGACAUUUUGAACAGAAGAGGUACUGAGAUUUCUGAAGUGUGAAAUAAGCGGAAAUGCAUAAUUUAUAGGGCAUUUUUUUGGGGUUGCUGUUUCACUCAGACAUUCUUUACUUAUUUCUUUUGUUUUUCUGUUAUAGUUUAUUGACUAGUUAGCUGAUACUGGGUAGAGAACAUUUACAGAAGAUACAUGAGAAUCCAAAGAAAUGUAAAUGCCAAUGUAAAUUGAAUACAAGAACAAAGUGAAUAAAGAAAACAAAAUGAAUAUGGGUAUCUUAAGCUGUACUGAAUUCAGCAGAGAUGUGUAUCACUGCUAUAACUAUGUACAAUAGUAUUAUAAUUUAUAAAAUUAAAAUAAACAUUAUAUAUAUAUUAUAUGGUAUGCAAACAUUACUGCUACAUUUCUGCAUUUCUGUGCAGGUUUCAAGUAUAAGGCUAUGUGCUUUAUGAAAUAUAGAUGUCAGCAUAGUAGAUGAGAUGAAAUGCACUAAGUGAAACAAAAAUACCCCAGAAAAGCUGAGAAAAGACUGGUCAGUGAGGGUAAUCGACUGGUGCUCAAGGUUCAACUCACCGAAAAACAUAGUUCCUCGAUAGUAAAUCACUGUCGGUGAGUUGUGCUGAAAGUGAUUCCUUUUUGGGGGAAUUUCCCACUUCUUCAAGUUGCACCCCACAUCAUGGAGUAAGUGUUUUUCAUUAGGAUUUUUUUGGGAGAAUACAUUUUGAGGAUUCUGAUCCUCACCGCAUUUGCUUUUGUCCACUCAUAGCAAACGUGAUAGGAGAUUGGUGCUUGUGUUGUGUAAAUCUGUACAAGCUGUGCAGGCUUCAGCUUUGCUUUAUCUUUCACAACAAAUAUACUUCAUAGGAAGAUAACAUUUGCACAUUUAAUUAUGCCUACAAAAUUGAGACUGACAUCAGUAGUUCAUACACUUUAACAAGAAAUUAACUUUGUGCAUUUGAAAGUUGUCACUGACAGGCAUGAGUUGUAACCAAUCACAAAAUAAAGACAGUUACAAUAACUACAUACCCAUUGCUAUUAAAAUUCCUGUUUUGAGAAUCAAAAAUAACUUAAGCCAUAUUAGUUUAAAAGAAAUGCUUUCUCAGUUUUACUUGGGCCUAAUUGUUAUGCCUUGAUCCUGUAGGACAAAGAUGUUAAAAGUAUUUUAUAGCUUGCUUUCAAAAGUGAUUUAGAGUGGUUGACAGACUAAGGCUCAGAUUCAUAGACUUGUGGUACAGCCUGCAGCACAAAUUAACACUAGUAGUGACAGUGGGUAGGGUGUGGGCAAUUCAGAGACCCAGGUAGCAUGACUGCACAGGAAAAAAAAUAAUACUGUAUGCAGUGCUUUCAAAUGACAGAAUAAUACAGAGAUGAGGAACACCAUGCAAAUGAGACUCACAGAAUAUCAAAUGGUGACAUCAAACAUGGUUGAGCCAGAAUAAUAUAAAAUAGUUACACUGUGUCAUGGUACAGACUUAUUCUGAAUACCAGAGAUUUAUUUACUUGACAUUUUUGUUUGUUUGCUGCUGCCUGCCAACUAUCUGUCCUUCUUGCAGCCAACUGACCUAUUUGAUCCCUUUCACCAGAAUGAGAAACAAAUGAGAGGUGUCAUGAUUUAGGCAGCCAUUAGGCUUUUUUACUUAUAUGUCUUUAACACAACAACCCAUGUCCAAUAAUAUGCUCAGGGUUUGGCAUGCCAUGACUAUCAGUGAGGACAUGUCACUUGCUUCUGCAAAUGAAGUAACCAUUAAUGACAACCCUGUCUCCUUGAUGCAAGUGCUCAUACAGGGUCUCUGUUCUCCAUUGGGAAUUCAGCCAUGGACACGUGUUUAUGCCUGGACAUGCAUGAUCUCCUAAGCUCCCCCAAGGAGACAUGAUCCUGCAAAGUUUUGUCUUUCCUCUCCUCUCCUCUCCUCCCUCAUUCCCACAUCAGCAGGUGCCUGAGCCACUAAUCAAACUCAGCUCACCUAGUUUAUAGAGCUUUAUCCCUUUAUGCCGCUGGUGCUGGUUUGAACAAUUAAGAUUUACAGUGUACAACUGGUGGAAGAUGUUAGAAUUAACAGAUCCUAUAGCAAAAUAGCAUAUGUUAGUGUCCACUACCUGAGCCAGUGCCUGUGACAUGACAUGCUGCGGCCAUCCAUGCUACAGGAUGUGCCCAUAGAGAUCAUGCAAUAACACCUCUGUCUUCAGGUGGUGAACUUUCCAGCUAUUGCUUCCCUCAAGGACUCAUGCUAAAUCCUGUACACAUAUGGGUUACAGAGUUACAUCCAUCCAUCACUGGGUAUGCAUGAAAUGCUGUGCAAGUCCCUUAUCCUUAUUAUGUAUCCAGUUAGCAGAUGCCUCUAGUUCUCUGCACAGCUGCUCCCCAUAUACACAUUGCAGCAAUGAGCAUAGCCUCCCUAGGCCUUUCCUGCAUGUGCCUAUAAGGACCAUGUAGUGUUAUAUGCAUUUUGUUAUGCCCUCCACUUACAAGGCAUCGCUAUACCUCAACUUAUUUACAGGAGGUCACAAUGUCCAUUGCGGCAUGUCAUUCCUUAGAUGCCCUAUGUCCAUGCUUCCCACACCCCCACUCACAGCUGGAUACAACAGAACCACGUCAAUGGGUUGUGUUCUCACUCACACACGCCCAUAGCAUUUGUCUCACUCUUACUGCCAUCCACCACAGGUGUUGAUGACAGUGCUGAGAUACAUUACUGUGCAAGUCUUCCUCCUUCAUUAUUUGUAGUGCCAAGUUCAUGUUGCUGUGUAAAGUCCUAUAUUCAAUAUUUUUUGUCUGCAUGUUUUUCCAUGCUAAGUUGUGCACACUCUUUCUAUCAUACUAAUAAGGGCCUCUUAGCCUGGCAGAAAUGUUAACAAGGCUAUUUAUUGCCAUUGACUCUGAAUCACUCAUGGAAUGCAAUGUGCAACCCCCAUUGCCCAUGCAAGCUAUGAUGAGCAUGGUGAUAGUGAAGCAUGUUUGCAAAAUGCUCAUGCACGCAUCCUAUAUGGAUUCACGGAGCCAUGGUGCAACACUAUUGGGUUUGGUGCCACCAUAUUGUAGUAUUAUAUCACUUGUGACUUGGUGCUGAAAUGUGCAUUAGUGUACACAGCUCUCAUUUUCUCCUUGAGUGAAUCAGACUGAGUGCACAUAGUUUCCUUAGUGGUUAUGAGUUGCAGAGCUCCAGCUGGGUGUACCAGGGAGUGCAAGAUGUUUUUAUUAUAUCUUCAUAGGGACUUUGCAUUCCACUUGUUGGGGCAACAUGUAGGCCCCUUGUGCAAGGCAGAUGCCUGACAUGAGCUUUCCCGAAUAUUGAGUGAUGUAACUCACAUCACCCAUUUUGGUGAGAAGUGCCACCAUCAUUCAAAGAUCUGUGGUGGUGCUACUCAGAAUUGCUUUAGAAGUGAAAAGCAGAGAUUAGGGAGACAGAGAGUGAGUGAGACGCGUGCCAUAAUAUUUUUUUUCCUAGCCUACCUUGGCAGUGAUAACCAGCAUGUUGGUCAUAUGCCUUUCUGCAGUGCUACUCAUCCACUGAACCUGCCUAGCAUUGUUCUUCACAUAAUGCAGGAUCCAAAAAGACAAAUAGGUAAAGUAUGAAGGUUGUUGUAGCAUUGUCCCAUCUCUAUUAUACCAUGCAAUCCCUUCCUCGAUAUGUCAGUAUUAUGCAAGCCUUAUUACAUAUCUGAUUAGCUGUAAAACUACUUCAGGCUACUGGUUACAUGUCAUUUAGCACUGUACAGGUGUGCAGUACUUGACUGUGAGUGCCUGUGUAUGGCUGCCAUGGUGUCUUCAUUUAGAUGUUAUCAAGAUAUGUUUUCUGGUCAUGAUAUGAUACUGCCAGUUAUCUCUUUCAUAGGGACAGACCCAUCAUUCUUUGAUUAUGACAAUAAUUCCAAAAUCUCUGUGACUACACUAGCAGUAUGGAGCCCAGGAUCUCACUCACUAUACUGCUAACUUGGUUCCAGGCUUGGCUGACAUGAGAGGAGUGAUAGUGUUUAUGUUUAUGUUUAUGCUUAUGUCUGUGUUUACCAUCUUCCAGAGAAUGGAUAUAAUGUCUGCAGUUGGUCUCCUGUGAGAAUCCGCAAGACAUCUAACAAUGUAUGUUCCAGUAGUGUAUUGUAUAUAAAUAGCAAACAGUCUAGGACAAUGGUAUAACAGCCUAGUACAAGAGUCUUAUAUCCUAUUAGACAACUCUGGCAUUUACUAUUGGGUCAGGAGCAAGCAAAUACUCAGUGCAUCUUAAGCUUCAAGGCAGAAUCAAGAAAAAGGUCGGUUAAGAUACAAUAAAUAUGUAAGAGGAGAAGACUGUUUGGUCUUUACCAGUACCUUUUUUGGGAGAUAUUUACUGCUGAACUAAUCUGUAAAUAUCAACAAAUAUCUGCUUUAAUAUGCUGAAGUGAAUCUAUUUAUCUGCUGCUCAGAUGAUACAUACUUUUUCUCAUCCUAUCUCAUAUUGCAGGUUCUGGAAUGUAGUCAUGCAAUUAAAUCUUUGUAAGGUUCUGUACUGGAGUAGUGGAGCCCCACAACUGUUUAAUAUUACUAAUCAUUUCUGGUAGAUUGACAUUUGCUUAGUGCAGAAGAGAUAGAAAGUACCAUAUGAGGUUAAUAUUAUAUAUAACUUAUGGAAUCUUAGCAUCCAGCAGCACAUACUGAACUUGGCAAACUGUAGUCCAGGUAUACUAUGGGUUAUGGUUUAUCUGACGGAGUCUUGGUUCAGAAAACCCCAGUCAGAGGAAUCUAAUUCAGUGACCUGGUGUAUGCUGAAAAUUCUUUUUGUAAAUGAGAGAAAAGCCUUUUAUAACCCCCAAGGGAUCUAUGCCUCCUUAAUUAAUAUAACUAAGACUACAGGGUAAAGGGCAUAUUCAAACCACCAAAUACCAUAUUAAGUAUUAUAAAUGCUGUUACAUAUUUACCGCUGCUCAUAAACACUCAUUCUCAUCCACCUUAAUAAAAAGGGGUGCAUUUUAUGUGCUUAUUCCUUUCUUUUCUUCCCCCUACCAGCCGAAGACAGUACAUAAGUUCUGUAACUUUUUAAGCCUAGUAUAUCAUGCUAACGAUGUUGCAUUGUUUAGCAGACCUUCAGAUAGAACACUAUUUUCAAGGCAAUGACUCACCUGGAACUGAAAGAUGUGACUUUUUCAUAGGCAUCUGUGUCAUCAGCUCCUCUUAUAAAGGUUUAUGGUUUAGUUCUUUGCUGUGCUAAGGAAAUACAUAGACAAUGGCGAUCUAUUAUGCUUUUUUAUACACCAGAGGAAAAUGAUAUUUUUUCUCUGCUAGUCAAUUUUUUGGCAUGGUCGUUUUAUGUAAUAAUUCAGUUUUAGUUGCAUUUUCUUGGACCAGCGUAUAUAAUUUUUUAAUUAUAUCUAUAACCAUUGCACAUUCUUGGAGUGGACCAUUACUCAAGAUUAAGCAGCAACUGGAAAAAAAAAUCUGGAUGUCUACAUGUAUAUAAAGUUCAAAUUCUUUAGUUCCAUUGACCCUCAUAUCCAUAAAGGCAGAGUUUCCAUGACUUUUAGGAGUAAAGGCUAUCUAGCAUCCUUUUCUAAUAGAAAGAGGAAGAAGACAUGGUAGAAUUUAUAUGGAUUUGCUCCAUAGGUUGUUGAGUAGGUGAAUGACAUAUCUCCUGCUUCUUGUAUAGCGUUAAAUAAAACUUUCAAAGGGUCACCACUAGAUGAGUAAGCUGUUUGUUUAAGUCAAUUGGUAUGCUACUUACUUUUGGGACUUUAUCCAGUCAGGUGAUUUUUUUUUAUCUUCUCCAAGUCAUUUCCUGCAAAUCCGUAAGACUAGCUAAUUUAGUGGCCUCUCUUUUGGAGAUCUGAGGUAAAGACAGGUUUUACAGAAGCUGCUUUAUGGCCAUACUAGGCUGUGUGUAUGUGGAAGGUGGGAUGAAUCAGAAUUGCUGUUUAACUUGUCAGAGAACUAUUUAAAUGAUUAAUUUCGCUACCCCUUCCUAGCCAGAUAACUUCCUAACCUCCUUGUCUUGGAUCAUGUUUAAAGUCUACUAUGCCUUUAACUUCAUCUUCAGUUUAAUUCCAGUGCUGAUUUCCAACAACUUUUACAGACUCAAAGAAAUUCUGUGUGUAGGCACAAAGUAAAAAAUGCAAUAUGCCAUCAAAUACACCAGAAAUUAUUUUAGGCAAAUGAACUCUGAGUAAAAACAUGUAAAAAUAUAAACACUGUUUAUGUAAAAUAAAAAUUGUAACCAA